rnacentral:rRNA from 1 species
UACGGAAGGCAGCAGUGGGGAAUAUUGCACAAUGGGCGCAAGCCUGAUGCAGCCAUGCCGCGUGUAUGAAGAAGGCCUUCGGGUUGUAAAGUACUUUCAGUCGUGAGGAAGGUGUUAAGGUUAAUAACCUUAGCAAUUGACGUUAGCGACAGAAGAAGCACCGGCUAACUCCGUGCCAGCAGCCGCGGUAAUACGGAGGGUGCGAGCGUUAAUCGGAAUUACUGGGCGUAAAGGGCACGCAGGCGGUUAAUUAAGUUGGAUGUGAAAUCCCCGGGCUUAACCUGGGAAUGGCAUUCAAGACUGGUUAGCUAGAGUCUUGUAGAGGGGGUAGAAUUCCAUGUGUAGCGGUGAAAUGCGUAGAGAUGUGGAGGAAUACCGGUGGCGAAGGCGGCCCCGUGGACAAAGACUGACGCUCAUGUACGAAAGCGUGGGGAGCAAACAGGGAUUAGAUACCCGU